CAGAUUAAAGCACUGCUGCGGAAACAUUUGAAGGAUGAGUUUCUAAAUUUCAUAAAGGUACGGGUGACCUGAAUGGACGGCUUUGUUUUUAUAACAUUACAUAUUUGUUAUUGAGCUGCAAUAGUUGCAACAGGGCACGUUGUGUUCUAAAAACAUCCUUUUAAAAUACCCCACACCCCAGUGUUAUACAGCGUGUGAAUCAUCUGGAAUUGAGAAAACGUCGGGACAGCUCAGCUCGGAAAUUUGCAAGAAAUAACAUAAUUCAAACCCAAAUUAUUAAUAAGUUAGUGUACAGGAAUAGUAUUUUUUUUUCUGUUAAAUACAUCGUAGACUCUUGUCUACAAGUGUAUGUAAAAGUUUUUGAUUCGGGUCACGCGUUUGGGCAAAGCGAUCCAAAAUCGUUCUACAAAUAAUUUACCGUACCCAAAUCAUUUGCAAAAUACUAUCAAGCAACAGGUACAACAAACAGGAUCACAGCAUAAGCUCUUAGCAACAACACCAAGUGAAGCUCGUCGACUUACAUAACAGAAUAAAAAUGCAAGAUUCCAGUAUAAGUUCAGCGCUUGCAAAAUACCGAUUUCCUGUUUCCUGGUUAAAGAAUUGUACGUGUUCAUGUUCCCCAAAGAUUCGAGAUUACUUAUUUGCAUUGCAUGUUUUCGUUGAUGUAUGAAUAGUAAAUAUUGAUUGUACAAAAACAUUUACGUCUACAAGAAGAUAUGAAAAUUGCUUUACACGGUAUGUAUUUGCAAGUUCUUUGAAAACGAAAUAAACCUAACACAAAAGAAUCUAUCUCUAUGCCAGAUGGAAAUUAAAUUUCACGUUUCUAGUUCGUCUGUACGUGCAUCUGCUUUGUGCAUGUAUGCCUUUCCAUAUGUAAAAAGUAGCAUUUACAGAUGCAAACGCAUGUCGUGUAAAAUCACUUUAACAAACAGAUGAAUAGCAAUGAUUUUUUAUAAUUUUUU